UCGAACGAGAAAGCCGGAGCAAUCUGGUGAGUAAAGUGGCGUACGGGUGAGUAACACGUGGAUGAUCUACCUUUUAGUGAGGAAUAACCAUGGGAAACCGUGGCUAAUACCGCAUAAGCUCGAGAGAGGAAAGUCGCAAGACGCUGAAAGAGGAGUCCGCGGCCGAUUAGCUAGUUGGCAGGGUAAAAGCCUACCAAGGCAAAGAUCGGUAGCCGGCCUGAGAGGGCACACGGCCACACUGGCACUGAAACACGGGCCAGACUCCUACGGGAGGCAGCAGUGGGGAAUCUUGCACAAUGGGGGAAACCCUGAUGCAGCGACGCCGCGUGAGCGAUGAAGCCCUUCGGGGUGUAAAGCUCUUUCGUCAGGGAAGAUUAUGACGGUACCUGGAGAAGCAGCUGCGGCUAACUACGUGCCAGCAGCCGCGGUAAUACGUAGGCAGCGAGCGUUGUUCGGAGUUACUGGGCGUAAAGGGUGUGUAGGCGGUUGUUUAAGUUUGGUGUGAAAUCUCCCGGCUUAACUGGGAGGGUGCGCCGAAUACUGAAUGACUUCGAGUGCGGGAGAGGAAAGUGGAAUUCCUGGUGUAGCGGUGAAAUGCGUAGAUAUCAGGAGGAACACCGGUGGUGUAGACGGCUUUCUGGACCGUAACUGACGCUGAGACACGAAAGCGUGGGUAGCAAACAGGAUUAGAUACCCUGGUAGUCCACGCCCUAAACGAUGCAUAUUUGGGUGUGGGCAGUUCAUUCUGUCCGUGCCGGAGCUAACGCGUUAAAUAUGCCGCCUGGGGAGUACAGU
rnacentral:rRNA from 1 species